GAUGAACGCUGGCGGCGUGCCUAAUACAUGCAAGUCGAGCGAACGGACGAGAAGCUUGCUUCUCUGAUGUUAGCGGCGGACGGGUGAGUAACACGUGGAUAACCUACCUAUAAGACUGGGAUAACUUCGGGAAGCCGUAGCUAAUACCGGAUAAUAUUUUGAACCGCAUGGUUCAAAAGUGAAAGACGGUCUUGCUGUCACUUAUAGAUGGAUCCGCGCUGCAUUAGCUAGUUGGUAAGGUAACGGCUUACCAAGGCAACGAUGCAUAGCCGACCUGAGAGGGUGAUCGGCCACACUGGAACUGAGACACGGUCCAGACUCCUACGGGAGGCAGCAGUAGGGAAUCUUCCGCAAUGGGCGAAAGCCUGACGGAGCAACGCCGCGUGAGUGAUGAAGGUCUUCGGAUCGUAAAACUCUGUUAUUAGGUAAGAACAUAUGUGUAAGUAACUGUGCACAUCUUGACGGUACCUAAUCAGAAAGCCACGGCUAACUACGU
rnacentral:rRNA from 1 species